UACGUAGGGUGCAAGCGUUUAAUCGGAAUUACUGGGCGUAAAGCGUGCGCAGGCGGUUGUGUAAGACAGAUGUGAAAUCCCCGGGCUCAACCUGGGAACUGCAUUUGUGACUGCACAGCUGGAGUGCGGCAGAGGGGAUGGAAUUCCGCGUGUAGCAGUGAAAUGCGUAGAUAUGCGGAGGAACACCGAUGGCGAAGGCAAUCCCCUGGGCCUGCACUGACGCUCAUGCACGAAAGCGUGGGGAGCAAACAGG
rnacentral:rRNA from 1 species